ACCACAUACAGACAGGAGAACAAAUGCUCUGCUGCUGACACUUGGUCAAACAGUGUUAGUGCCGGAGGGGAAGACGGAAAGAAGAUAACCACCUGACGGAGGGCAGGGAGGGCACUGUGGCAGGUUGAAGCUGUUGUUGGAAUGAUACAAGACGCUUGUGUACACUAUACGCUUACACACACCAACCAGAUGAAACACAGUUAGCAAAAUGCAGACCAAGUGCCCUUGUCUGUGCAGCUUCUCCUAUGGCAAAGGUGACAAUUGGCAGUUCCAAGAGGCGCAGAGAUGGAGCCUCUCCCAGAGCUAGCUGAUCCUUGGCCUGGGGUCGUGCAAAUCACCAAGACUUCUGCUGGCUGGGCUCUGCUGCACACACCCCUCCAGCCUUCUCUUCCCACUAGGGAACUGUGGCACUACUGGGGACCUGGGAUCAUUGCCCACACAGGCCCCCUUCUCUGGGCUCUCCUAACUCUCCUGUUCCCGUAAUAACCCCUGCUGCUAAAUUCUCUAGAAGAGCUGAAUUCGUAGCCAGCCCUGCCAGGUCUCCUUAGGGGGCUGAAGCACUUCCCAGAGCUCUCUGACUUCUUUGGUAUGGAGCAAAACUUCAGCUGAGCAUGGGAAGGAGCACUGUGCCAUCUCCUGGGGCUCACCUAGGGUGCACUGUACGUGUUGAUCCUCUUCAGUUGAAGUGCAAUUGCCAAGGCAGCCAUCUGGUGAGGGAUGUCCAGCUUGGACAAGACAUGGAGGAAAGCAGAGAGGAGAGAGGGAAAGGAAAGGAGUAGCAUGAGAUAUCUGUGAAAUUCAAGGAAGCAGUUUCCAGCAUGGAGGGGUUCCUGCUGUGAAAAUUGUCAGAACCAGAGUGGAAGAGACAAAUUCCAAAGCUGGAAGUAAGGACAAAGAACUAUUGUAUCAGUCCUCCCAGCCCAGGCCUCUUCACCAGGCUUCCUGGGGUUUCAGGGAACAUGCUCAGAAAGAUAGGAACUGCUGCCACUCUGCACACAGCCUCCCUCACCAUUUUGGCUUCUGAGUCAGGAGUGUAAGAACAACAUGCAGGAAACUUGUGGUAAUAAAUGGUGCAGUGAACCCCAGCUGUGCUGAGAUCCUCCAGGGUAGGCAUGCAGUAUGUGUGCAUGGGGUGGAGGCAGCCCUCCACAUGGAGUUGUGUUUUUUUAACCAAGGACCCAUCCUCCUGCCCUGCAGAUGGGGUGUUUGUGGGCAGGAUCCUUGGAGGAAGUGCUUGGCUUGAAUUUGGCUUCCAGUUCACUAGUGCAGCACCCUCAUGGAAGCCUGUGAGAUCCCAGAAGAGGUGGGAAAUGGAAAGGCUGGGGUGGGAGUGGAGAUGACAGCAGCCAGGGACUGCUUUCUCACACAAGAGUCCCUCUGGGGAUGCAGAAGUGCUCUGCAGUGUCACAUUCAGCACCCUUAACCCAGGGUUGGCAGUGCCACUGGCUAGUCUCUCACUGUCCUGAACAUCAGCUGCUGCCCCGGAGUUUCCAGGAAAAACACAAUUGAGAGCCCCUCGCUACACUGGAGAACCUGGCGAACCAGCUUCCCCUCACUUCCUUCUCCCUCCUCCCAAAAUUUUGAAAUUAAGUUCUAGUAUCUCAUAAAACAUCAUGUUCAUAUCAUAAUUUCAGUGUGCAGAGACACCAUACAAGGGCCAGGAUGCAUACAAAUUGCUGCUCUCAAUCUUCAGCUACAAUAAGGAAACUUCAGAUGCUGACAGUUUACUUGAUAAAUACCUAAUAUAGCUUAAAUAAUUAUUUAAUGCAGACAAAUGGAAAAAGAGAGCAUCUGUAUGGUGUGUUGUAAUAACCUACAGCUUGCAACUUGUUGGGCAGUAGCAGCAGCAGCUCUAAAAAAGGGCUCUAACUAUGGCCUGGGAAGGAGGGCUCAGGCUGAGGAUUUGCUAUGGGAGCACCCUGCUAGGAGCUAAUGGAUGUUGGGUGACAGACUAAUGAGGGAUGAGAACCCUCUGUGAGCUGAAUUAGUACUGCACUGGUGACCUAGGUGGCGUGAAUGUGUGCUUCAUCCUGCUGCUUGCCCAACACUGGCUGUGGGGCUGAGUGCUAGUGCUGUGGGACAAGCAUAGCCCAAGGUGGGCUGGUGCAUCUGGGGGCUGGCCGGGGGCUGGGACAUGUUUUCAGUAGCUUCAUCCAGGCAGAAGCAGCAUUCAUCCUAGCAUGCAGGCACAGAGGUUUGGUGGUGACCGUAGCCUGGAGGGAAGUAUAGAAGAGCAGUACGAAGCAAAUGACUCCUUGUAAGGUGGACGAACUCCCAGUACCCGGGACAUUGCUCUACCAGCAGCAAAGCAUGUUCCCUUCCGGAGCUGCAUGUGCACCACGUUCCCAGGCUAAUUUUGUGGGCUUCAUGAGUGCGACUCUCAGACUUUAUCUCCUUUGAGCUCCAUGGUCAAUGGUUGUUUAUAGGUUUUUGCUUUGCUUUAUAUGCUCAGUGGUAUUUCAGAAAGCGCGCUGAUCUCCUCCAUGAGCUCUCUAACAGAUUACAAGGGCCACACUUGAUUGAGCUCCUGGUGUUCUGCCGUGUCAGCCUUCCAGAAACAGAGGGCUGUGGAUAUGUGCCUUUGCAUAGCAGAGGAUAAACACUGUGGCAGAGAUGGAAGAUAAGUGGCAAUAAAAAGUAAAACAUGGAGGGCCUGCCCUUUAAAAUGUAUUAGGUGAUUUACAAAUAAAGCUGUGUAUUUUUAGGAUAUAUGUGGAAUUGUUCAGCCUGUAACCCUUAAGGAAUCUGACCUUGAAGAGAAGAAAUACAGCUGUGACCAGCCUUCAAAAUGUUCUGGAAACAGAAAGGACAAGCAUUCUUGCUUAUUAUUUCAGCAGUAGGUGAGCCUUGUUCGGUUGGUGUGGUUUGGGAAGCAACUCACUCUCCAGGACUCUACUAGCUAUCAGAUAACCUCAGUGUGCAAUCGGAGGCAGAGAACUUGGCAGAAAAAAUACCAAGUUUUUGGUGAGAUUUCCAGGGGUCCUUAGCUCCUGGAGAUCAGGACAGUCUCCGCUAGGUUGCUUUGUGUUCUGGUCCCAGGCAGAUAUGCUCUGGUGGUAAGAAAAUGAGAGAAACAGAGGCACGAGGCCUGGUUCCGAAUAUGUAACUUGGCACUUGUGUUCUGUAAAGCUCUGCUGUCUCAUCUUGCCUGUUUGGGCCCUCUCUGGUCCCCACUGGCAAAUGCUGCUGUGCAGGUGUGUGCAGUGCAAGCAAGGCUCCUUCCUUCACCAAUCAUUUUGGCAGAGGGUCUUCUAGGACAAGGGGGGCCCGGGCUGUGUCUUACCUUCCCUCCAAGGGCAUUUGAACAUAUAUGUGUCAGGCGCCCUAACUGUGGUAGCAGCCUGCUUGGAGUGAGAUGGGCUUUUCUUUGCUUUGUUGCCUUCUGCUGAAGUAGCUCUGUAUUUCUGAAGGAUGAGUAGCAUCCUCCCAGCCUGUAUUUUCUGGACAAUGUGAAAAAUAUUGGGCCUACUGAUUCCUUUAAGGGUAAUGAAUGAGUGGAGACAGCUGUAAAGUGAGUCUAGGAAUCUGAGCUGUAAACUUCUCAUUUUAAAUUUGUUCUUAGAGAAAACACAGAUGAUUCUCUGUGUGGAAGAAUAACCGCUAAUGAUCCCUGCAUGUGCUGGUGGUCUGGGUUGUUGAUGCAGGGAGACAGAAUCUCCAUGUGCUCUGGGCUCUGGAAGAGAAAAUGUAAACAAUCUCCAGUUUAAUGUCUGACCAAGGAGAUGUAAAUCAAAUGUAUGUUGAAGCCUUUUAAAUGUUUUGACAUUUUCCAAUUCAUCAAGGUCUUUAAUUGUAUUUUGAGUGAGUUGUUCUAUAUGUAAAUACGAGUUAACAUUGAAAGUGUUUA